UACGAAAUAUCAUUUGAUAUUUACCACUAGCUUUUCGGUGAAGGAAAACAUCGUGAGGAAACCUGUAUACAUCUGCGAAUAAAUUCAAAGGUGUAUGUGAAGUCCCCAAUCCGCAUUGGGCUAGCGUGGGGAUAUAGCCCAAGCCCUCUCGCGCAUGAGAGGAGGCCUGUGCCCAGCAGUGGGACGUAUAUAGGCUGAAUUAUUAUUAUUAUUAUUUUAUAAAUGGAUUGUUAUGUUUUCAUAUAGAGGGUAGAUGUCAUUUACGGCAGUCUGUAUCUGAGCAUUAAACGUAGCACAUCAGUGUCUUA